ACAAUAAGCAUGUACCAUUUCUACCAUGGCAAUAUUUUAUGUUUCUGAUUCACUUCGUUCUAUUACUUUCUGCAGUUUCACUUUCCCUAUUACCAAAUCACCUUACAUGUUCACUGUCAAACUUAAUCUUCAUUGCAAUACUUAGUAACACCCAAGCUACUCUUGCACUUUCGGCUGUACAUUCCAUUAUUAUUCUAUGCACUUACAAAAAUACAAAACAAAUCAACUGAAUAAUCCAUUUAUUAUUAGUCUUUUCUAAGUAAUUAUUAUAUAAAUUACAUAAAAAUAAAAGGAUUGAAAAUUUAAUUUUAAGGUGCCGCCUGCUUCUAAGAAGUUGAGGUUCAAAGCAUAGUCAUCAUGAAGAUAAAAGAAGAGACAGCAAACAUCACUGACCCAAUAAAAUUACAGAGCAAAACCACAAGUUUCUCAUCAAUCCUAACGCCACAAACAGGUGUCCAAUUGAACUGCUAGUAAACAAUCCCAAAAUCUUUUUGCAAAUUAAUGAACUAGACUCUACAAUUUCCCCAUUCUCUCUACUAUAUAUAAUUUCCCAGCAAAAAUAUUAUGAAUUAUGCAUUAUUCAAGUAAAAAAUUUCAAUUUCAACUUCCAGUAACCUGCAGUUUUGUUGUCGCGACCCUUCUUUCCGUUUCCUUUGAUGCUACCACAUAGAUGUUCAACUAGCUGCGAUCCACUUCAUUCAUCCCACGUAACACACCGUCGCAACGCGCCUCGCUGUUCUCCCUACCGUAUAUUUCUCCUCAACAUCGGUUAAAAGCAAAUCCAGCUGUGGUUUUCACUGCCCAAAUACCAAUAAAAAUGGUGCACUACUGCAACGGGUUGAGAUGGUAGCCCGACUUUAAGUCAUUAUUCCUUCCCAAAACCCCAACCAUUAGAUUAUACUCAUUAAAAGGGGGUAUGGUAUCCCUUGGGUACCGUACCUGGACCCCACAUGAAAAUCCUUUCAUUGAUUUCUUUGAAACAAACUUAAUUGGAAAUUCAAGGUAAAAAAUUGUGGAGCCUUUAAUCUCUAUUUUCCCAUCUUUACUUAUUUUAACAAGAAAAUUCUACAAUUUAAAUAAAAAAAUUCUUAAAAGAUUAUAAUGGAAUUUUUCCAAAAGAGUAAAUUUUUAAAAGAUUUUGAUGGAAUUAUUACACAAGAAUAAAAUUCUUAAAAGAUUAAAGUGGAAUUUUUUUAAAGGAAUAUUUUAUUCACUUUACUGCACUUACAAAAAUACAAAACAAAUCAACUGAAUAAUCCAUUUAUUAUUAGUCUUUUCUAAGUAAUUAUUAUAUAAAUUACAUAAAAAUAAAAGGAUUGAAAAUUUAAUUUUAAGGUGCCGCCUGCUUCUAAGAAGUUGAGGUUCAAAGCAUAGUCAUCAUGAAGAUAAAAGAAGAGACAGCAAACAUCACUGACCCAAUAAAAUUACAGAGCAAAACCACAAGUUUCUCAUCAAUCCUAACGCCACAAACAGGUGUCCAAUUGAACUGCUAGUAAACAAUCCCAAAAUCUUUUUGCAAAUUAAUGAACUAGACUCUACAAUUUCCC
rnacentral:lncRNA from 1 species